UACCAGCCCCCUGAGUGGUAAGGACGAUUAUUUGGCCUAAAACGUCCGUAGCCGGCUUAGCAAGUCUUUUGUUAAAUCCAACGAUUCAAUCGUUGGACCGCAAAAGAUACUGUUAUGCUAGAGGACAGAAGAGGUCGACGGUAGUCCAGAGAUAGGGGUGAAAUCCUAUAAUCCUUGAAAGACCACCAGUGACGAAGGCGGUCGACCAGAACGUGCCUGACAGUAAAGAACGAAAGCUAGAAAAACGAACCGGAUUAGAUACCCGAGUAGUCCCAGCUGUAAACGAUGCGGGCUAGGUGUUGGGAUAACCACGAGCUGCCCCAGUGCCGCAGAGAAGUUGUUAAACCCGCCGCCUGGAAAGUACGGCCGCAAGACUGAAACUUAAAGGAAUUGGCGGAAAAGCACCACAAAAGGUGAAGGCUGCGGUUUAAUUAAAGUCAACGCCGAAAACCUUACCGGGACUGACAACAGAGUGAAGGCCAGACUGAAGAUCUUGCCAGACAAGCUGAGAGGAGGUGCAUGGCCGUCGCCAGUUCGUGCCGUGAGGUGUCCUGUUAAGUCAGGCAACGAACGAGACCCCUGCUGCUAGUUGCCAGCGGAUUCCAACGAAAUGCCGGACACACUAGCAAGACUGCCACCGAGAAGGUAGAAAAAAAAGAAGACAACGGCAGGUCAGUAUGCCCCGAAUGCCUCGGACCACACACGGCCUGCAAUGAUAGGAACAAUGGGAUCCGACCUUGAAAAGGGAAGACAAUCCCCAAACCCUAUCUCAGUCGGAAUUGAGGGCUGGAACUCGCCCUCAUGAACAUGGAAUCCCUAGUAACCGCGUGUCAUCAUCGCGCGGUGAAUACGUCCCCGCUCCU
rnacentral:rRNA from 1 species